AUUAGGAUAUGAAUAUAUAAAUGAUUGAAUGUGAAGGCCAACACGGAGAGAGCAAUUUAAUGGUUAUGACACAGUUGAUUCGUAAUGGUUUGUGAAGGGGGUACUUGUCUGGGCUCGAGAGCAGUACAAAAGAUCAUCAUACGCGAGCUAAACUUAGUGAUAAGUCAAUAGGCGAUGCAUGCUGGUCGGACGACCUCAAAAUUACCUUAUUCCGACACACACGUAUGCGCAUUAAAAAGUGAUUUUGCCCUUUUGAAUUUUUAGUUGUAUUAUAUGAGAUGCCUCUGGUGUUUGUGUUUAUUCAAGUGUGAUUUCAAAGUCCGCCGAAAGUUACUGUCCCACGGGGUGAAACAGUAGUGAGCAGAUCGGUGAUGGUUCAGUUAAACUAUCGAUUGGAUAAGAGACACAUUGGUUUGAGAAUUAAAGUUAAAGGAUUUAUGCCACGUCAGUUCGUUGUGUUUUGACACUCUUUAAAGCCUGUUUCGUUCGGAUUUUUCUGCUGUAAAAUUUUGUAUAAUAUGGCACUAGUAUUUGUUAUUUCGAUGUGUUAUUUUAAGUGUUAUUACCAUACUAUUAUAAUACUAUUAUUUUUAUUAGUAAUGUUACGUAAUUAUACAGUCUGUUAUGUAUGCGAAUAAUAGUACCAUCCUUCCAUUUCUGUCAGCUUAUUUAUGUACUUUAAAAUUGCUAUCAGUAAUUUAUUUACUUGACUUUUAAAAUAUACCCCGUUUAAUUCCCUAGACUGCCUUUUAUUUUUUGCUUUUUCGUUCCAGAUGCGUUUCCGCAAAUGAUGCGGGCAGUACAGUUUUAAUCGAUUGAAACGCCAACAAAACACGAACCGUCAAAAGCAAUGGCUGUUUGACGAUGGACCUUGGCGGACAUAAACCGAAAAGUGAACACUGUGAGAGACAGACCAGACUUGUGGCACGGAAUCAAUAUUUUUUAUCUAUCCAUCCAUCCAUCCAUCCAUCCAUCCAUCCAUCCGUCCGUUCGUCCGUCCGUCCGUGUCCGAGGUCGACUGAAAAAAGAUCGAAUUCAGUUUUUUUAAGUUUUUCUUUUUGCUUUCUUUUGGCGCGUUGUUUUGUGUCUUGUCAUGAUUGUUUUGUCGCACACAAAGCAUUACAUCAAAUUUUACGUGAGCAUGAUAAACUACUGCAUAUUUUAUCAGAUGCUGCGACGUUCCUGUUCUUUGUACUUAGCCUUUUAAGUCACCAUUUAAAUCCAUUAUAGCUAAUAGUAUAUUAUAUGCACUAUUUAAAUUCAUUUUAUUGUAUCAAUUUGUUGCAUAUUUGUUAUUUAAAACCUAAAUCGGAGAACGUUUUGAUAGCAGUAUGCAUCUCGUGUCAUUAUUAAAGGAAACAAUGUUAAGUCUCACGA